rnacentral:rRNA from 1 species
GAAGUCUGAUGGAGCAACGCCGCGUGAGUGAUGAAGGUUUUCGGAUCGUAAAACUCUGUUGUAAGGGAAGAACCAGUACGUCAGGCAAUGGACGUACCUUGACGGUACCUUAUUAGAAAGCCACGGCUAACUACGUGCCAGCAGCCGCGGUAAUACGUAGGUGGCGAGCGUUGUCCGGAUUUACUGGGCGUAAAGGGUGCGUAGGCGGAUAUUUAAGUCAGAUGUGAAAACCCCGGGCUUAACUUGGGGACUGCAUUUGAAACUGGAUAUCUAGAGUGCAGGAGAGGAAAGCGGAAUUCCUAGUGUAGCGGUGAAAUGCGUAGAGAUUAGGAAGAACACCAGUGGCGAAGGCGUCUUUCUGGACUGUAACUGACGCUCAGGCACGAAAGCGUGGGUAGCAAACA